CGAAGCAUAGUGUAAUAAAAACAUUUCGCUUACACCGAGAAAAAACCUGUUAAACUCAGGUUGCUUCGA
rnacentral:tRNA from 1 species